ACGGAAGAGCGGACAAAAGAAUAGAGUCGCCAUAAUGGUACCGACAGAUUCAAAACCACAAACAACUUUAGAGCAAUUGCUGUAUGCCAGGGGGAUAUAACAGCAACCAUAUCUCAUCAAAUAACUCUCCAGUUAUAAAGUAAAGCCACAUAGGCAAGCAAUAUUAUAUUCGUUCUAUCCCUGCACUCGACCACUUAGGACUUCAGUAUUGUGCUCUUACUGUUACUGAGCCGUGCGAUGCAACGUGAGCUGAUGGCUGUAAUGCCAGACCACUGUUAUGAGGCAUAAAAAGAGUCUUAAAAUAUCUUGUUUCAAUAACACAAGCAUGGCCAGCACCCAAAAGCAGAGCUAGAGGGAGAACAGUCAUUAGUAGGUAGGAUGUCUGGGUAAGUGCUACAAUUGAUCUGUUUAAAAAGGUCCAAUGUGACUGGCUGGCUAGUAAAGGUCAAAUGUGACUGGCUGGCUAGUAAAGGUCAAAUGUGACUGGCUGGCUAGUAAAGGUCAAAUGUGACUGGCUGGCUAGUAAAGGUCAAAUGUGACUGGCUGGCUAGUAAAGGUCAAAUGUGACUGGCUGGCUAGUAAAGGUCCAACGUGACUGGCUGGCUAGUAAAGGUCAAACGUGACUGGCUGGCUAGUAAAGGUCAAACGUGACUGGCUGGCUAGUAAAGGUCAAACGUGACUGGCUGGCUAGUAAAGGUCAAACGUGACUGGCUGGCUAGUAAAGGUCAAACGUGACUGGCUGGCUAGUAAAGGUCAAACGUGACUGGCUGGCUAGUAAAGGUCAAACGUGACUGGCUGGCUAGUAAAGGUCAAAUGUGACUGGCUGGCUAGUAAAGGUCAAAUGUGACUGGCUGGCUAGUAAAGGUCAAAUGUGACUGGCUGGCUAGUAAAGGUCAAAUGUGACUGGCUGGCUAGUAAAGGUCAAAUGUGACUGGCUGGCUAGUAAAGGUCAAAUGUGACUGGCUGGCUAGUAAAGGUCAAAUGUGACUGGCUGGCUAGUAAAGGUCAAAUGUGACUGGC